AGUGAACGCUGGCGGUAGGCCUAACACAUGCAAGUCGAACGGCAGCACAGUAAGAGCUUGCUCUUACGGGUGGCGAGUGGCGGACGGGUGAGGAAUACAUCGGGAUCUACUUUUUCGUGGGGGAUAACGUAGGGAAACUUACGCUAAUACCGCAUACGACCUACGGGGGAAAGCAGGGGAUCUUCGGACCUUGCGCGAAUGAAUGAGCCGAUGUCGGAUUAGCUAGUUGGCGGGGUAAAGGCCCACCAAGGCGACGAUCCGUAGCUGGUCUGAGAGGAUGAUCGGCCACACUGGAACUUAGACACGGUCCAGACUCCUACGGGAGGCAGCAGUGGGGAAUAUUGGACAAUGGGCGCAAGCCUGGUCCAGCCAUACCGCGUGGGUGAAGAAGGCCUUCGGGUUGUAAAGCCCUUUUGUUGGGAAAGAAAAGCAGCAGGUUAAUACCCCGCUGUUCUGACGGUACCCAAAGAAUAAGCACCGGCUAACUUCGUG
rnacentral:rRNA from 1 species